AUUACACGCCCGCAGCACUGACCGGGCCCCUGAAGAUAUAGGGCUCAUCAGGUGGCCCUAAAUGCUUAGGCCACCUAAUGGGCCCCGGUGCAGAUGCACCUGCGGCAGUUUCGCCGCUCCAUGUGGGGCCCGGACGGCCAGGCCCCCCAGGGCCACCGGGCCCGUGACAACCGUCAUGGUUGUCACCCCCUGAUGGCGGCCCUGCCUCCAGCACUUGUAAAACUACAAACCUGCAGGAUGCUUUGCCUUCGGGGCGCAGCUCUACAACAACUGAAAGUCAACCAAUUAUUCAUUCC